UGAGAAUGGUUGCUUUAGCAUAUGGCCAGAAC
rnacentral:piRNA from 1 species